rnacentral:lncRNA from 1 species
AUGUGCUGCUGUGCCGGGGCCUCGAGCUCCGGGCAGGGCAGCGAGGUGCUCCCGAGUGCACCAGGGGCUGCGCUGCUGUUUGCUGUCCCCCAGCUGCGUGCCCUGCUGCCGUCCUGGUGCCCUACAAGGUGUCCGUGUCCUGGGAUUCGUCCCCAGCACUGGGAUACCCUACAAGGUGUCCGUGUCCUGGGAUUUGUCCCCAGCCCCUCCGUCCCGGUGCCACCGCUCACGGCCAGGCUGGCCAGGCUCUGGUGUCGCCUCUGCAGCGGGAGGAAGCAAAAUUUCGGGGGCAUCCCUGGCACCGAGCCCCCCAUUUGGGGGCAGCAGCUGCAUGUGCGCGUCUGGGGCUGCGUCUCCUGCCAAAAUCAGGGAGGGGGCUGCUGGAGGACGGGCACGGGGGGCUCACAGCAACUCAUCGGCCGCCUCCAGCCGCAGCGCUCCCUGCCUGGUGGCACACCCAGCAGGCGAUUUUUCUGUGCCGUGCGUGAGCCCGUCCCUGCUCCCGGCGUGGGCAAGGGGCGUGGGGUGGGCUCGGGGCCGUGUCCUGGGCUUUUGGCUCCUUCCCUCAGGUUCUGCUCGCCCCCGGUGGGCUCGGCGCUGCACCACGAGGCGGCUUUGUCUCGCGCGGCGUCCCCACCGCCCUGCGCGCUUCAUUUUUCAGUCUGGCAGCAGACAGGUGCCGUUACUCAUCCCGCGGGGGCUCUGCAGGGCGCUGAAGCGGGCGGGUGUGAGGGGGGAACCUGCCUGGGGCUGCUGGCGGCCCCCUGCCCGCCGCCCCCCGGCUGUACCUGCAGUGAUUGCUCCGAUUUCGGUUUGUUUGAGCUGGGUUUGAGGCCGUGCUUCAUGCAAAGCUCUCCCAGGCAGGGCUGGCAGAAGCCUCCCUGCAACCGUGCUGCAGGGAAGGGAAGCAUCACCUCUUUAGGGGGGGCGUUAAAGCCUUGGGGGGGUCACUGCGCAGAUGUCCCUGCCCGGCGUGGUGUCCCCAUGCCUGGAGCACCGUGUCCUGCUGGGCACCCACCCGGCCCUCCAGCAGCCCCAAGGCCAGAGCCUGUUUUGCCGGCGAUUUCUCCCUCCCCAAGGCUCCCUGUCUGGCCCCAGCCCCCAGCGUGUCGCAGAAUUUCCCAAGGUUUCUGCUCCUGCUACACAGAAGCCGGCAAACGUUGGUAUUUCUGUGUUUUGUCUGCUCCCAAUCAGUGCCUUUUGUUAGUGGCUUUGGGAAAAAAAAAAAAAAAAGAAAAAUCGCUUCGCCCUGCGUCGCCAAGCCUGCUCUCGGCGUGGCUUUUACAACUUGCGCUGUAUCCUGCAGCCAUCCGGGUGCAGCCCCCUGGCUGCAGGAGAUGCCUUGGCCCCCGAGCUUCCCCCCCUGCUGCUUCUCCGAGAGCACCCCUGCGAGCAGGAGCUGAGCUGAGGCCGCUGGCAGCCCCCCACAACCCCACGGCCAGGCUGUAGCUGGAAAACACAGGUAAGGAAUCACUCCGGGGGGGGUCUCCCCAUCUCCGGGUGCCCCCAGGAGCCGGUCCCGCGGGGACCGGAGCUGAAACCUCGCAGCUCAGCACCGCGGUGGUUCGCAAUUUGUCAGCGGUGCCGAGCCCCCGGAGAGGAAAGGAGAGGAGUCCCUGCAGGCUGCGACGUGCCUGGGGUGCUAAUCCUGCCCGCAGGAGAGCUGCCGCCUCCGAUCUGAUCCGUCGGAGGCGAGCGCGAGGAAUGCUGGCAGCUCUCCAGCCCGCCGCCUGCACCUCAGGGGGAAGCCCUGCCCCAAAUCCUGCCCGGCUGAGGACAGGAGCGGUGCUGAGCUCCAGGGGAAUUGCUGCGGGUGGUGGGCAGCUUCUUGCAACCCGAUUGCUUUAACCCCGCUGCCUGGCAGUGCUGCUGGAGGCCAGGAGCCCCCCCCUUGUCCCCACAGCCACCCCCAUGGGGGCCGCGCUCCGUCCGCUGCCCAUCCCGGCCGUGUCCCGGUUGUGUCCCCGCCGUGUCCCUGCUGGGGGAAGUGCAGCGGCCAGGGGAAGCUGUGAGCACGCCUUGCUCAGAGGCGCGUGGGCUGUCACGAGCCCCGUGGUCACAGCCCUGCCGGCCCCGGGCAGCCCACGGGGCCCCGGGAGUGCCAGCGGGUGCCCGAGCCCCGCACGGAGGUGAGCGGAGGGAGGAGAGCACCGGGGGGUGGCUCUUGGUACGGGAGGGGGCUUUGCUGCUUUUUUUCUCAAGACCCACUUUCUCCUGCACCUCUGCUCAAGCAUUUCUGAUUUAUUAUAAGCAUAUUUAUUUAUGGGGCAGCCUCUCCCCUCGUCUCCACCACCAGCGUGCCAGCGGUGACAAUUUGCCAGUGCAGGGUUUGUAUCCGACCUUCCCGUCCCGCUCUGCUCCAAACUCCCCAAAGCGUGGGCUGAGGCCCUGCUAGGAGCCGGCUCUCUUGGAAAACGAGCCCUGACGGUCAAACCAAGCCCUGAGCAUG